rnacentral:rRNA from 1 species
GACGAACGCUGGCGGCGUGCUUAACACAUGCAAGUCGAACGGUGAACGAGGUAGCUUGCUCCCUCCGGAUCAGUGGCGAACGGGUGAGUAACACGUGAGCAAUCUGCCCCGAACUCUUGGAUAAGCGUUGGAAACGACAUCUAAUACCGGAUACGCCUCGGGAGGGCAUCCUCUCCGCGUGUAACGAACUUCGGUUCGGGAUGAGCUCGCGGCCUAUCAGCUUGUUGGUGAGGUAACGGCUCACCAAGGCGACGACGGGUAGCCGGCCUGAGAGGGUGACCGGCAAAACGGGAACGGAGACACGGCCAAGACUCCAACGGGAGGAAGAGGGGGGGAAUAUGGCACAAGGGGCGAAAGCCUGAGGAAGAAACGCCGCGGGAGGGACGACGGCCUUGGGGUGGUAAACGUCUUUUAGCAGGGAAGAAGCGAAAGUGACGGUACCUGCAGAAAAAGCACCGGCUAACUACGUG